rnacentral:tRNA from 1 species
GAAAGUAUAACUUAAUUGGCAAAGUAAUUAGUCAUAAAUACAAAUAUUUCUUAGUUCGAAUCUAAGUACUUUCA